UGUGGCGUGGAUGGGCGGCAAUCUCAAAUUGUAAUAGUGUGUCACCGUUAACGGCUGGACCAUUGUGCUGCCAUCGUGAUCCACCGAGAAAAACACACAUUACAGAUUGGGAUUACCCCGUCCAUGCUCCG
rnacentral:ncRNA from 2 species